AGACAUUGCAUCCUCUUCUGUGCAGGCAACAUGGUGACUUGAAGAACAGGCACUGGACUGCACAGAAGCUGUGCGAUUGACAGCAAAAUGAUAGAGGCUGACAGUGAUCUUGGCUGGUUAAGAUCCCAACUGAAGUCAUCUGAGCUCCUCUUAGGAGUUCCUCAGCUAUCAAUGACCUGUGGGCAGCUAAUAGAGUUCUGCUCUGUCCAGAGCUGUCAUACUUUGCCAGGGUUUUAACAGCUGUGGCUGAAAAAAGCAUCCAGUGUUGACAGAACAAGCUUGCUUUCAAGGGGAAAUCUGAUAUCCACCUUGGAAAGGGAGACUGAAUCCUGCAGAUCCGACUUCACAGAUCACUGGUGUAUGGCACACCAAGCUUCUCUUUCCUACACGCUGAAAUUAGUCCUAAAGAUGACUACACCGAAGAAGGCAGGUAUUGGUUAAAGUCAAAUUGCCUUUAACUUCCACUGAGACAUUUUCCAAAAGGCUGGUAGUUCUUCAGGAACUAUUUGGUUCCUCAGUAUCUGCUUUUCAAAGUCUUUAAAGUUCAGUGUUAGACCUUUCCUUUUUUUGUGUAUCCAACUUUUCAAUAUAAUGUAAAAAUUGAGAUGUUUUUAUUAGUAACAGCAUUAACUUCUGCUAGAGAAGAUUUAGCUGCUAAUUUUAUCAGCAUUAACUUCUGCGAGAGAGUAUUUAGCUGGAGCUUAAAUACUAAGAGGCUGAAAUUACCUUAUAACAGACUUCCUAAAUGGCUGUUAUGCCUAUCCACUAACACAUCCUGCUACCUUCCAUCUUCAGCUAGAAAUCUAUAGCUUUGCCUGUUUUCACAGAACAAAGAUUAUCCAUUGUAGUCACAGGAAAAAACAUGGCUUUACAUCAAUGGGCCUAAGAAUGAUUAUUAUUUGCAUUUUUUCCUGACCACCUAUUUAAAAGGAAAUAAUCCUACAAUGUGCUGGAUUCUUAUGGGCUGAUGUUCUGUGUUUUCAUCUACCACUGACUUAUCUAUGCCCAAAACCUCUUGUUUAAUAAAGUCAGAGUGCCUUAUUUUUU